AAAAAAGAAGGGAAAGUCCUGCGGGUGACAUCCCCGGGGAACGCCGCGGCUCUACGUCAACCUGUGGCGGCCACCGACUCAUUUGGGGCCACGCUGGUUGCAUUCAUCACGCCGGGGACGUCUUCUCAAACCCUUCCACACCAGCGACACGGGCGCGUCUGUGUCUCUCGAUAAUCGGGUCGCGGAGCCCCCGCGAGGGCAGGCGAGGAACUGGCGACUGUGGGGACGAACAGCUGGGGCUUGUAGUCCCCUCGCGACCCUCUAGUCUGGAAGAGGCCGGGCGCGGCCGCUGAGCUCCUGCUCCGCGCCUGCCCAGGCAGCCGCGCCCUCAGCGGCGUGGCCCGGGCGUGUCAUGAGUGGGGCGGGGCCCACAGGGCGUGCGCGACGGAGCGGCGCGGUGCGUGGCGCGAAGGGGCGUGGCGCCAGUGGGCGUGGCGUAGUGCGAAGAGACGCGGUGCGCCAGCGCAUGAGUGCUGCCGCGGAUGAAGGCACACUCCACAACUUUUUUCCGGCCAGGCCCAGACAUGUCCGUCCUUGUAAGAUAAAAGCUUCCGUGGGAGCCUUCCUUCUUAAUCAAGCCUCGUGGUGGAACAUUGGACCCUUCAAGAGGAAGGAUGAAAGCUCUACAUAG
rnacentral:lncRNA from 1 species